UGGGGAAUUUUGGACAAUGGGGGAAACCCUGAUCCAGCCAUCCCGCGUGUGCGAUGAAGGCCUUCGGGUUGUAAAGCACUUUUGGCAGGAAAGAAACGUCAUGGGUUAAUACCCCGUGAAACUGACGGUACCUGCAGAAUAAGCACCGGCUAACUACGUGCCAGCAGCCGCGGUAAUACGUAGGGUGCAAGCGUUAAUCGGAAUUACUGGGCGUAAAGCGUGCGCAGGCGGUUCGGAAAGAAAGAUGUGAAAUCCCAGAGCUCAACUUUGGAACUGCAUUUUUAACUACCGGGCUAGAGUGUGUCAGAGGGGGGGGGAAUUCCGCGUGUAGCAGUGAAAUGCGUAGCUAUGCGGAGGAACACCGAUGGCGAAGGCAGCCUCCUGGGAUAACACUGACGAUCAUGCACGAAGGCGUGGGGGGCAAACGGG
rnacentral:rRNA from 1 species